rnacentral:rRNA from 1 species
AGUGAACGCUGGCGGUAGGCCUAACACAUGCAAGUCGAACGGCAGCACAGUAAGAGCUUGCUCUUACGGGUGGCGAGUGGCGGACGGGUGGGGAAUACAUCGGAAUCUACUUUUUCGUGGGGGAUAACGUAGGGAAACUGACGCUAAUACCGCAUACGACGUACGGGUGAAAGCAGGGGAUCUUCGGACCUUGCGCGAUUGAAUGAGCCGAUGUCGGAUUAGAUAGUUGGAGGGGUAAAGGCCCACCAAGGCGACGAUCCGUAGCUGGUCUGAGAGGAUGGUAAGCCACACUUGAUCUGAGACACGGUCGAUACUCCUAAGGGAGGCAGCAGUGGCGAAUAUUUGCCAAUGGGCGCAAGCCUGCUCCAGCCAUACCGCGUGGGUCAAGAAGUCCUUCGGGUUGUAAAGCCCUGUUGUUGGGAAAGAAAAGCAGCAGGUUAAUACCCCGCUGUUCUGACGGUACCCAACGAAUAAGCUCCGGCUAACUACGUG